UACGUAGGAUGCAAGCGUUAUCCGGAUUUAUUGGGUUUAAAGGGUGCGUAGGCUGUGAGGUAAGUCAGCGGUGAAAUGCCCCCGCUCAACGGGGUGAAGUGCCAUUGAUACUGCCUUGCUGGAAUGCGGAUGCCGUGGGAGGAAUGUGUGGUGUAGCGGUGAAAUGCAUAGAUAUCACACAGAACACCGAUUGCGAAGGCAUCUCACGAAUCCGCGAUUGACGCUGAUGCACGAAAGCGUGGGGAGCAAACAGG
rnacentral:rRNA from 1 species